CCUAGGGGGGCAGCAGUGAGGAAUUUUGCGCAAUGGGGGAAACCCUGACGCAGCAACGCCGCGUGAGCGAAGAAGGCCUUCGGGUCGUAAAGCUCUGUCAAGUGGGAAAAAAAUUCUUUGAUGAACAGUCAAAGGACUUGAUGGUACCACUGGAGGAAGCACCGGCUAACGCCGUGCCAGCAGCCGCGGUAAUACGGAGGGUGCAAGCGUUGUUCGGAAUUACUGGGCGUAAAGAGCGUGUAGGCGGUUUGACAAGUCAGAUGUGAAAGCCCCGGGCUCAACCCGGGAAGUGCAUUUGAAACGGUUUCACUAGAGUAUGGGAAAGGAGAUUGGAAUUCCUGGUGUAGAGGUGAAAUUCGUAGAUAUCAGGAGGAACACCCGUGGCGAAGGCGAUUCUCUGGACCAAUACUGACGCUGAGACGCGAAAGCGUGGGGAGCAAACAGGAUUAGAUACCCCCGUAGUC
rnacentral:rRNA from 1 species